rnacentral:rRNA from 1 species
UCAAAGGAAUUGACGGGGCCCGCACAAGCGGUGGAGCAUGUGGUUUAAUUCGACGCAACGCGAAGAACCUUACCAGGGCUUGACAUCCCCUGACCGCGUAUGAAAGUACGUUUUCACCCUCGGGUGACAGGGAGACAGGUGGUGCAUGGUUGUCGUCAGCUCGUGUCGUGAGAUGUUGGGUUAAGUCCCGCAACGAGCGCAACCCCUACGGUUAGUUGCUAACGGGUAAGGCCGAGCACUUUAGCCGAACUGCCGUUGACAAACGGGGAAGCGGGAUGACGUCAAAUCAUCAUGCCCUUUAUGUCCUGGGCUACACACGUGCUACAAUGGCCUGUACAAAGGGCAGCAAAGGGGCGACCCGGAGCAAAUCCCAAAAACAGGUCUCAGUUCGGAUUGCAGGCUGCAACUCGCCUGCAUGAAGGCGGAAUCGCUAGUAAUCGCAGGUCAGCAUACUGCGGUGAAUACGUUCCCGGGCCUU